GUUCUAACUCCGCCUGUAGCUCCACCGGGGGCUACUGCCGGUCUCAAGCCCGGAUAAAGGAGGAGGGCUGG
rnacentral:ribozyme from 2 species